GACAGCAGCAGCCGCGGGAAUACGUAGGUCCCGAGCGUUGUCCGGAUUUAUUGGGCGUAAAGCGAGCGCAGGCGGUUAGAUAAGUCUGAAGUUAAAGGCUGUGGCUUAACCAUAGUACGCUUUGGAAACUGUUUAACUUGAGUGCAAGAGGGGAGAGUGGAAUUCCAUGUGUAGCGGUGAAAUGCGUAGAUAUAUGGAGGAACACCGGUGGCGAAAGCGGCUCUCUGGCUUGUAACUGACGCUGAGGCUCGAAAGCGUGGGGAGCAAACAGGAUUAGAUACCCCGGUAGUCCCUGUCUCUUAUACA
rnacentral:rRNA from 1 species